rnacentral:snRNA from 1 species
AUCUUUGCGCUUGGGGCAAUGACGUAGCUAGUGAGGUGCUAGCCGAGGUGUGUUUAUUUCUGGUUGAAAAAAACACGGGCUUGAUUAUUUUAUCCUUUAUAUAUCUCAUAUAAAACAUAAAAUUGAAUAAUCACUUAA